CAACCCUCGAGCCCCAGUGGCCCGGUGUUGGGGAUCUGCCACGGCAGGCCCCUAAAUCCAGUGGCGGACCCGUCGGGCCCUCUCCUUUACGUAGUAGCAUCAGCCUCGUAUCGGGAGCCUGCGGCGUCCUCGCCUCUAAACCCCCCAACAAGCCCGCCUCGGCGGCACCAA
rnacentral:misc_RNA from 1 species